rnacentral:rRNA from 1 species
CAUCACUACGCUAGAUGCAUAUCAAUAAGCGGAGGAAAAGAAACUAACAAGGAUUCCCCUAGUAACGGCGAGUGAAGCGGGAAGAGCUCAAAUUUGAAAUCUUAAAAGGGUUUUCCCUUUUACGAAUUGUAGUUUAAAGAAGUGUUUUCUGUUGAAGGUUUUGGUACAAGUUCUUUGGAAUAGGACAUCAUAGAGGGUGAGAAUCCCGUAUUUGACCUUUACUUUUCAACUUUGUGAUACACUUUCAAAGAGUCGGAUUGUUUGGGAAUGCAGUCCAAAAUGGGUGGUAAAUUUCAUCUAAGGCUAAAUAUUGGCGAGAGACCGAUAGCGAACAAGUACCGUGAGGGAAAGAUGAAAAGAACUUUGAAAAGAGAGUUAAACUAGUACGUGAAAUUGUCAAAAGGGAAGCGUUUGGACACCAGUGUUGUUUUUCUGAAAAAUCAAUUAAAGAAUUGCUUUAUGCUAAGUGUUUUAGACUUUAAUCAGCUAUACAUGUUUAAUUCUUUGUAAGCUUUCUUGAAUGCACUUUUUCAGUUAACAAGUCAACAUCAAUUUCUUUUUGCUGUAAAAAAGCUUAGAGGAAGGUGGCUUGAGAUUCGUCUUCAAGUGUUUAUAGCCUCUUGCCCAUGCAGUAGGAGAGAUUGAGGUCUGCAGCAUAGAUCCUUCGGGGCUAGAUGCUUUUGUGCUAGAAGCUAGUAUUAUAUAGACAACUUGUUGAUUAUGUAAUAUAUUAGUUUCUACUCGCUAAAGUUAUUUUACCUACGCUUAGGAUGUUGAUCUACAGAGCGAGAGU